rnacentral:rRNA from 1 species
AGAGUUUGAUCAUGGCUCAGAGUGAACGCUGGCGGUGCGCCUAACACAUGCAAGUCGAACGGGUUCAGACCCGUGGCGAACGGCUGCGUAACACGUUGGUACAUCCCCCGAACUCAGGGAUAUCCCGCCGAAAGGCGGAGUAAUACCGGAUGCCCUCGCAAGAGGAAAGAUUUAUCGGUUCGGGAGUGGCCUGCGGCCUAUCAGGUAGUUGGUGAGGUAACGGCUCACCAAGCCUAUGACGGGUAGCUGAUUUGAGAGAAUGAUCAGCCAGAAUGGAACUGAGACACGGUCCAUACUCCUACGGGAGGCAGCAGUGGGGAAUCUUCCGCAAUGGGCGAAAGCCUGACGGAGCGACACCGCGUGAAGGAUGAAGAUCUUUAUUGGUCGUAAACUUCUGUUGUGAGGGACGAAAUUUUGACGGUACCUCACGAGA